CCCCAGGUACAUCUACCGCCUCUGCCCCUUCAAACGUGUCUCCCAGAAACCCAAACACGGCGGCGCUGAGACCAACCUGGGGACAUGGGGCGCCUGGGCCGGCCCCGAGCAUGAUCGCUUCAGCGCCAUGAAGUAUGAGCACGGGACGGGCUGCUGGCAGGGCCCCAACCGGGCCACCACGGUGAAGCUGUCCUGCGGGACGGAGACGGCGGUGACGGCCACCACGGAGCCCAGCCGCUGCGAGUACCUGAUGGAGCUGGUGACGCCCGCGGCGUGUCGCACGCCCCCCUCGCACGAGGACCACGACGAGCUCUGACCCCGGGUACCGCCGUCCACACGCACACCUCCCCUCCCCCGCCUCGCACGAGGGGACACCCGCCUCGCACGGGGAACCCCCCAGCUCGCACGAGGACUCCCCUCACAUGGCCGCAGUGUCCUGGCUGUGUGCCUGUUUCCCCGGUGGGGGGGGGAACCAUUCCCUCAGGGGGACAAUCCCUGCUGAUCUUGUCCCCGGCGGGGUGGGGGGGGCUGAGAGCAUGGUCCCUGCCUCAGUUUCCCUCACCCACAGCCCAGUGGGAGCUGCCAGGACCUCAAGGGACCACAACCCCCCUGCCAGGACCUUUAUGGGGGGGCACACAGGAUAACACUG